rnacentral:rRNA from 1 species
UACAGAGGUCUCAAGCGUUGUUCGGAAUCACUGGGCGUAAAGAGUACGUAGGCUGUUUUCUAAGUCAGGUGUGAAAGGCAGGGGCUCAACCCCUGGACUGCACAUGAUACUGGGAGACUGGAGUAAUGGAGGGGGAACCGGAAUUCUCGGUGUAGCAGUGAAAUGCGUAGAUAUCGAGAGGAACACUCGUGGCGAAGGCGGGUUCCUGGACAUUAACUGACGCUGAGGUACGAAGGCCAGGGUAGCGAAAGGG